GAAGGUAUCUCAAGGUUUCACCCGACAUGCUUCUUUCUGUGAGAACUGCCUCUGUCUCACGGGCUGGGGUGGCAUCCGAACAAUUUCCAAAGGGCGAGUGGAGUUGAUUUUUCACCCUGUACUUUAUUGGGAAGUUUUGGUUGACUUGGGGAGCUGGUGUGAACAGGAACCAGAGGCACUCCGGAGGUUGCCUGGAUUGGGGAGGGGUGGGUGAGUGCACUUGCGCGCGCGUGCGUUUGUGUGUGUGUGUGUGUGUGUGUGCGGUGUAGGGAGGCGGGGGGCGGGGGUGAGGGCCUGGGGCGGGGGCGGGGCGCGGCUCCGUGUUAAGCAGCACCGUGGCGGUUCCACGCUGAGUGCAGCGUGCUCGGCUCUCUCGUUGCAGGGUGUCAGGCAGAGUGGAAGGAGAGGAGGAGAAGGGAAGUCGGGGACGUCGGUCAUGUCUAGGCGCUGGUGUUCUGGGGUGUCAGGCAGAGUGGAAGGAGAGGAGGAGAAGGGAAGUCGGGGACGUCGGUCAUGUCUAGGCGCUGGUGUUCUGGGUGAGUGAGUGCCCUUUGUUCUCUUCCUUCUCCUCUUCCAAAAGGGUUCAUUUCAUCACAGGAAAAGGUCAGUGGUUCUGGUGGUUCAGCAAGCCUCAAGAAGGGGAGACUCCCAAGGUAGGUCCGUGGCACGGGGCCACCGGCGUACCGUGCCGGAGUUUUCCGGCUUGAUAGCAGAGGCUCUCGGGCCAGGUCCCGCU
rnacentral:lncRNA from 1 species